rnacentral:rRNA from 1 species
AACGAACGCUGGCGGCAUGCCUAACACAUGCAAGUCGAACGAGACCUUCGGGUCUAGUUGCGCACGGGUGCGUAACGCGUGGGAACCUGCCCUUAGGUUCGGAAUAACUCCCCGAAAGGGGUGCUAAUACCGGAUAAUGUCUUCGGACCAAAGAUUUAUCGCCAUUGGAUGGGCCCGCGUUGGAUUAGCUAGUUGGUAGGGUAAAAGCCUACCAAGGCGACGAUCCAUAGCUGGUCUGAGAGGAUGAUCAGCCACACUGGGACUGAGACACGGCCCAGACUCAUACAGGAGGCAGCAGUGGGGAAUAUUGGACAAUGGGCGAAAGCCUGAUCCAGCAAUGCCGCGUGAGUGAUGAAGGCCUUAGGGUUGUAAAGCUCUUUUACCCGGGAUGAUAAUGACAGUACCGGGAGAAUAAGCUCCGGCUAACUCCGUG